rnacentral:rRNA from 1 species
UGCCAGCUGCCGCGGUAAUACGGAGGGUGCAAGCGUUAAUCGGAAUUUCUGGGCGCAAAGCGCGCGUAGGUGGAUUAUUAAGUCAGAUGUGAAAGCCCAGGGCUUAACCUUGGAACUGCAUUUGAUACUGGUAAUCUUGAGUACAGUAGAGGGAGGUGGAAUUUCAGGUGUAGAGGUGAAAUUCGUAGAUAUCAGGAGGAACACCGAUGGCGAAGGCAUCUCUCUGGGCCGAUAUUGACGCUGAGGCGCGAAAGCUAGGGGAGCAAACGGGAUUAGAUA